ACAGAUUAGACAUUAUUUUAUUUUUUAAAAUGAACCAAUAUUCUUUACUUAAAUUAUAUAUGAUCUCUUAUUCAAGAAAGAAAAAAAUAUAGUUAAUUCGAAAAGGAGGAAAGAGGGAGCAUAUUUUACUUUGCUGCCAAAAUUACUUAAAGAUGACCUCAAGUUUUAUAAUUACAUGCGCAUGAAAAAAAUAAUUAAAAAUAAAAUUACAAAAAAGAAAACUAAUUUUAUCAAGAAUCUUAUUACACCUGAUGAAAAAUUGAUAAUUACACUGAGAUACCUAGCAACUGGUAAUUCAUAUGUCACCUUGUCAUAUUCUCAUAAACUUGGGGUAUCAACUAUAAAACUAAUAAUAGGAGAAACCACAAAAGCUAUAUGGGAUAUUAUUUAACCCAUCCAUAUGAAGGUCCCAACAUUGGAGAUGUUUGAGGAAGUUGCUAAGAGCUUUGAUGAAAGGUGGAACUUCCCAAACUGUAUAGGUGCCAUUGAUGGGAAACAUUGUAAAACAAAAAAGCCUCCACAUUCUGGAACCCAAUUUUAUAAUUACAAGCAUUUGGAGACACAAUUCCUACUUUAUGGAAUCAACAAAGCAUUAAGAAUACCUCUAAUCAAAACAAAAAUAUUCAAAAUUUAUUUUCUUAUUAUUUUAAUAAUGUUAAUAUUUUGCCC